AAAGGGUGCGUAGGCGGCCUGUUAAGUCAGAGGUGAAAGACGGUAGCUCAACUAUCGCAGUGCCUUUGAUACUGAUGGGCUUGAAUGGACUAGAGGUAGGCGGAAUGAGACAAGUAGCGGUGAAAUGCAUAGAUAUGUCUCAGAACACCGAUUGCGAAGGCAGCUUACUAUGGUUUUAUUGACGCUGAGGCACGAAAGCGUGGGGAUCAAACAGGAUUAGAUACCCGAGU
rnacentral:rRNA from 1 species